ACGCUGUAAACGAUGGAUACUAGGUGUAGGAGGUAUCGACCCCUUCUGUGCGCAGUCAACACAAUAAGUAUCCCACCUGGGGAGUACGACCGCAAGGUUGAAACUCAAAGAAUUGACGGGGACCCGCACAAGCAGUGGAGUAUGUGGUUUAAUUCGAAGCAACGCGAAGACCUUACCAGGGCUUGACAUCCUACGACCGCCUAAGAGAUUAGGCUUUCCCUUCGGGGACGAGAGACAGGUGGUGCAUGGUUGUCGUCAGCUCGUGUCGUGAGAUGUUGGGUUAAGUCCCGAACGAGCGCAACCCUUACCGUCAGUUGCUACAUUAAGUUGAGCACUCUGGCAGGACUGCCUUGAUAAAACGGAGGAAGGUGGGGACGACGUCAAAUCAUCAUGCCCCUUAUGUCCUGGGCACACACGUACUACAAUGGCGAAGAACAGAGGGAAGCAACGCAGCGAUGCGAAGCAAAACCGAAAAAUCGUCUCAGUUCAGAUUGUAGGCUGCAACCCGCCUGCAUGAAGUCGGAAUUGCUGUAAUCGCGGAUCAGCAUGCCGCGGUGAAUACGUUCCCGGGUCUUGUACACACCGCCCGU
rnacentral:rRNA from 1 species